GCUGGGGUGGCGAAACCGGCAGACGCAACAGCCUUAGGAGCUGUCGAGAGCAAUCUCAUGGGAGUUCAAGUCUCCCCCCCAGCA
rnacentral:tRNA from 1 species